GGCCGCCUGGCGAAAUGGCAUCGCGUCUGACUACGAUUUCAUUGCUUCUGCGAUGUUACCGAAGCGUAUCAGGAGAUUGCAGGUUCGACCCCUGCGGUGGUCA
rfam:Moniliophthora roreri strain MCA 2952 kmer90.94657, whole genome shotgun sequence.